rnacentral:rRNA from 1 species
GAUGAACGCUGGCGGCGUGCCUAAUACAUGCAAGUCGAGCGAAUGGAUUAAGAGCUUGCUCUUAUGAAGUUAGCGGCGGACGGGUGGGUAACACGUGGGUAACCUGCCCAUAAGACUGGGAUAACUCCGGGAAACCGGGGCUAAUACCGGAUAACAUUUUAAACGGCAUGGUUGGAAAUUGAAAGGCGGCUUCGGCUGUCACUUAUGGAUGGACCCGGGUCGCAUUAGCUAGUUGGUGAGGUAACGGCUCACCAAGGCAACGAUGGGGAGCCGACCUGAGAGGGUGAUCGGCCACACUGGGACUGAGACACGGCCCAGACUCCUACGGGAGGCAGCAGUAGGGAAUCUUCCGCAAUGGACGAAAGUCUGACGGAGCAACGCCGCGUGAGUGAUGAAGGCUUUCGGGUCGUAAAACUCUGUUGUUAGGGAAGAACAAGUGCUAGUUGAAUAAGCUGGCACCUUGACGGUACCUAACCAGAAAGCCACGGCUAACUACGUGCCAGCCGCCGCAGUAA